CUUAAGUUGAGUAUAUACUGCGAUGAUCUUCAUUUGCUUAAAAUAUAUUUUCCGCAGUACAAAUAUAUGACUUUCAUGUAUUCUUAUCAAAAUAAA